rnacentral:rRNA from 1 species
UACGGAGGGAGCAAGCGUUACUCGGAAUUAUUGGGCGUAAAGGGCGCGUAGGCGAUCCGACAAGUCUGGUGUGAAAGCCCACAUGUUAACUGUGGAAGUGCAUUAGAAACUGUUGGAUUUGAGUUCAGGAGAGGAAAGCAGAAUUCCCGGUGUAGCGGUGAAAUGCGUAGAGAUCGGGAGGAAUACCAGUGGCGAAGGCGGCUCUCUGGACAGUGACUGACGCCGAGACGCGAAAGCGUGGGUAGCAAACGGG